CAGUUAUCAAAAAAUAAAUUCCAAAAGCUUUUUCCUUCUCUCCUCAUAUCGAUCUUUCUCCUCUUGUCUCUCUUUCCAGAACCUUCAUUUCAAGCUGAAAUACUGGGGCUGGGAGUUCUCGAUUUUUGCAUGCAAUCCGGGAACGAAGAACAUCCAAAGAACCGAUGACAACCAAAAAGAGAGGUGUCGUGGAGAAAGUCACUCUACACCCACGAGUGUUCAAGGACAAUAGUUUGACAAAGGGCGGUGAAGUAAAGGAAGUCCGGCAGGUCUUGAAAGUCCUACAUCGUGAAUUUAAAGGAGGGGUAUGAAUUCCCAUUCAAUAUAGUACUAAACUUGGUACUUCAUUAUUCGUGAAAUGUAUGAAUGUUGUGAAAUUGAGAUAAUUUGUUGAAUGAAUGUGGGAGACAGGGAGUGGUGACAUUAUUUGAUUAAUGUAUUAUCGAAUAUUUAAUCUAUUGAUUAUGUUGCUUGGUACA